rnacentral:tRNA from 1 species
UGGGGUGUGGCUCACAUGGUAAAGCACCUGCCUAGCAAGCAUGAGGCCUUGAGUUCAAACUCAGUACUACAA